rnacentral:lncRNA from 1 species
UUGGCUGAAGACCAUACCUGGGCUGGCACAGUACAUGUGAAAAAGAGAUGCUGAUCUGUCUCCUGCUGCCCACAGUAAGCACAGUUCAUAUCUAUAUGGAUAGAGAAAGUACCAGCUCUUACCGAAGUGGCAAGAGCUCUUCUAAUAAGUCUCCAAGCAAAGGUUUUGAUAUUUGGAGGGAUUAACUUACAUUUCCAGAUGCUAUGAAGAAUUUUGUUGGCUUGCUCCGAUAUGCUUCUGGGUCCUUGGUUUGGAAGCUGGUGCAUCUACAAAGAAAAUAGAUGGGAGUAUGCAGCUUUAGUGGUACAAAUUCCAUCUUUGGUUGGAGCCCACCU